rnacentral:rRNA from 1 species
CCUACGGGAGGCAGCAGUGGGGGAUAUUGGACAAUGGGGGGAACCCUGAUCCAGCGACGCCGCGUGAGUGAAGAAGUAUUUCGGUAUGUAAAGCUCUGUCAGCAGGGAAGAAAGAAAUGACGGUACCUGACCAAGAAGCCCCGGCUAACUACGUGCCAGCAGCCGCGGUAAUACGUAGGGGGCAAGCGUUAUCCGGAAUUACUGGGUGUAAAGGGAGCGUAGACGGUUAAGUAAGUCUGGAGUGAAAGGCCGGGGCCCAACCCCGGGACUGCUCUGGAAACUAUUGAACUUGAGUGCAGGAGAGGUAAGCGGAAUUCCGGGGGUGGCGGUGAAAUGCGUAGAUAUUAGGGGGAACACCAGUGGCGAGGGCAGCUUACUGAACUGUAACUGACGUUGGGGCUCGAAGGCGUGGGGGGCAAACAGGAUUAGAUACCCCGUAGUC